AGUACUGCUUACUGCCUCUGCCUUGGGGUGUUUCCAACAGCCUUAGGCCUCCCUCAGCCUCUUUCUUGGCAGAAAGCAUCCAAAGGCACAGUGUGGGGUGAGGGUCCCUAGCUUUGGGCCUUUGUGUCCUGCACAGAGAGGGAGGAGGGACGUUAUCCUAGAUACUGUCUCUGGAAGAUGCCAUACUAUUAUGGUUUGAAUAUAAAAUUCCCUACAAGAUCUGGGGAGCACUUGGUCCUCAUCUGGUAAAGCUGUUUGGAGGAGGCUCUGGAAUGUUUAGGAGGUAGGCCCUAGUCAGAGGAACUAGGUCACUGAAGGGAAACACCAAGGUUCUAGUCUCUAGUUACAUUUUUACUUCCUGUCUGCCAAGAAGGAAACAGCUUCCUCCACACCUGUCCCAGUACUGUGAUGUACUGCCGCACAGUCAAGCCACCAUGAAAUGAACCUCUAAGUGUUUCUGCUCUGUUGGACGGGCAUCCGGGGACUCGGAAGCCCAGGAACCACACAGCUCUGAGGGGAGGAUGCAUCCCAGUGAGACACAGGAGCCCAGGAACCACACAGCUCUGAGAGAGAGAAAGCCUCCUCAGCAGAGGUGUUGCAGCUCCCCAGGAUUAUCAGGCUGGCUUGCAACUUGUAGUGAUCCUCUUGUUGCAUCUUCAGAGCACCGAGAUUACAGGAUCUGGGAGCUGAGCCUCCCAUGCCUUCUGGUUGGAAGUGAGGCCUGGAGCUGUUGCUUGGCAGCCAACCUGUGCCAGGCAUGCACAGCUGAGAGGAUCCUGCAAGACCUCGAGAGAGAUGAUGAGCAGCUACCAUUUCUAGCUUGGGAAGUAGGCCUGUUCUGUGCGCUGGCUGCCUUGAGAGGCAUGCAUUAUGACUCCUGGGGUACUCAAUGUGCCUUUCAGUUCCCGAAAACCUGAGGCACCCUCUCAGGCAGUGAGGCAAACAGGCUACCUUUGUGUCUUGGUGUUCCUUAGAGGUAAAUGAAGCAUACAUACAGAACUUGGCUGAACAUAUAAUCUUAGACGUUACUCUUGUAUGCCCUAUCAGGCUUGGGUGCCACCCUUAUAGCCUAUCAUGAGGAGCAUGUAAAAUGUCUCACUGCUUGAAAUAAACCUGUCUCAGUCUUAGCUCUGCUGAGGUCCCUCCAA